GAAUCUUUUGGACGAACUGUACACUACAGAAUUUCUCAUCGAUAAAAACAAAACACUUGUCAAAAUUAAAUUAUUUUUGUUUCAUUUAAAAAAAUCCCUCAUCCCUGAAAAGGUUAAAUCCGUCAUAUAAAUGGGGUUACAUCAAAAUCACCUACACGUUUCAUUAACACUGUUUUCGGCAUUAAAAAUUCAACAUCAGAAUUAACCGACAACAGCUUUGACUGGCAGUAGUUUUGACCAACAACAGGUUUGACCGACCGCGGUUCUGACCAAAAGCAGCUUUAACCGACGUAUUCUCUGAAUUGUGUACUGAAUAAUUCAGAGGAAGUACUCAGGAUACAAAUACAUCUUUAAUAAAAUUAAUGGAAAUGAUAUCUUUCAAUGAAACAGUGCAAUAACUGUCAACAAAAAUUGGUUCAUAGCUUCGAUGUAUGUAGGUCAAUUGAUACGAGAAUGUCUUCUAAAGGUGUUCUCGAGACUACUGUCACACCAAUGGAUAAGAUUCCGCACGGAAAAGAGAGCAAGUUCGCUGUGUGCGUAGUUACCUAAGAGGAAUAAAAGAGAAUGUCCGUUGUCGCAUCUUUAAAUUUCAGUAGACACUAUUAACCCCCAUUCGGAUAAUUUAUCUACGUAACGUGAACGGACAGUCGGAGUCCGUUGGAACGUGUAAGUACAUAAGUUAAAGCAAAAUAAUGGUUAGCGAUGUGCGAGAACUUGAAAAUAUCGAGUCAGCUUCUCAAAACUAGAUCGAAGAUAGAAGCCUUUUUUAGAAAUGAAGAAAAAUAAUGAAAAUAAAAUUAACCAUACCCUGUCGACCUAAUCCUUUUUUUAAUCAAAUUGUACGAAAUGGCUGAUUGUGUGGAGUGUAUAAAAUUUUACUAAAAUCGCUACCAUGAAGUCAGGAUAAAUAAUAGGUGGAAAAAAUGUCAGUUGAAUCUCAGAAUUUUAGAAUUUUGUAAUUUUAAAAUACAGGAACUCUAAAAAUGUACAGUACUGGAAUUCUUAUGUGUAGUUAAAAAUUUUGUAACUUAACAAUUUUUAAAUUAUCAAGAUUCGUAAUAUU